rnacentral:rRNA from 1 species
UACAGAGGGGGCAAGCGUUGUUCGGAAUUACUGGGCGUAAAGGGCGCGUAGGCGGCCUCCUAAGUCAGACGUGAAAUCCCUCGGCUCAACCGGGGAACUGCGUCUGAUACUGAGAGGCUUGAAUCCGGGAGAGGGAUGUGGAAUUCCAGGUGUAGCGGUGAAAUGCGUAGAUAUCUGGAGGAACACCGGUGGCGAAGGCGGCAUCCUGGACCGGUAUUGACGCUGAUGCGCGAAAGCCAGGGGAGCAAACGGG